UGAACUGAAACAUCUAAGUAGCCGGAGGAAAAGAAAGAAAACUCGAUUCCCAGAGUAGCGGCGAGCGAAAUGGGAGGAGCCUAAACCAGCGUGCGUGCAUGCUGGGGUUAAGGACUGCAACAAGUGACCGGAAGGUUAACAGAAUGGUUUUGGGAAAGCCAGCCGUAGACGGUGAAAGCCCGGUAUACGACUCUUUAACGAAGCCUAGUGGAAUCCUGAGUAGCGCGGAGCACGAGAAAUUCUGUGUGAAUCAGCGGGGCCCAUCCCGUAAGGCUAAAUACUCCCGAGAGACCGAUAGCGAACCAGUACCGUGAGGGAAAGGUGAAAAGCACUUCGAACAGAAGAGUGAAAUAGUUCCUGAAACCGUGCGCCUACAAGCGGUCGGAGCUGCUUAAAGCAGUGACGGCGUGCCUUUUGCAUAAUGAACCUACGAGUUGCCUUUGCCGGCAAGGUUAAGUGUGACGACACACGUAUCCGAAGCGAAAGCGAGUCUGAAUAGGGCGUAUAGUCGGCAGUGGCAGACGCGAAACCAAGUGAUCUACCCUUGGCCAGGUUGAAGGCUGGGUAACACCAGCUGGAGGACCGCACCAAUAAGCGUUGAAAAGCUUCUGGAUGAGCUGAGGGUAGGGGUGAAAGGCUAAUCAAACUUGGAGAUAGCUCGUACUCCCCGAAAUGCAUUUAGGUGCAGCCUUGUGGGUUACUGAUGUGAGGUAGAGCGACUGAUAAGAUGCGAGGGCUUCACCGCCUAUCAAGUCUUGACAAACUCCGAAUGCGCAUCAGUUUUACCUCAGGAGUGAGGGCAUGGGUGCUAAGGUCCGUGCCCGAGAGGAGAAGAAUCCGGACCACCUGCUAAGGUCCCGAAAUGACAGCUAAGUUAAACUAACGAAGUCAGAUUGCUAAGACAGCUAGGAUGUUGGCUUGGAAGCAGCCAUUCAUUUAAAGAGUGCGUAACAGCUCACUAGUCGAGGAGUCGGGCGUGGAUAAUAAUCGGGUAUCAAGUUGUCUACCGAAGCAGUGGGAUCAUUGAUAUGAUCGGUAGGGGAGCAUUCCAGUCAGCGUCGAAGGCGUACCGCGAGGUAUUCUGGAGCGUCUGGAAAAGCAAAUGUAGGUAUAAGUAACGAUAAAGGGGGCGGGAAACCCCCUCGCCGAAAGACUAAGGUUUCCUGAUCAACGCUAAUCGGAUCAGGGUAAGUCGGGUCCUAAGGCUCAGCCGAAGGGCGAUGCCGAUGGCAGAAACGGUUAAUAUUCCGUUACUACCUCCAGGAGUGAUGUGGAGACGCAGUAGUGACAAUGCCGCCAUCUGACGGAAUAGAUGGUUGAAGGGUGUAGAUGUUGAUCUUGGCAGGCAAAUCCACCAUGAGAAUCGAACCUGAUAGUAUGCCGCGUCCCUCGGGACAAGGCAAUAGUGCAUGUAAUCAUGCUGCCAAGAAAAUCCGCUAAACAAAAUCCUGUAGGUACCCGUACCGUAAACGGACACACGUAGUCGGGAUGAAUAUUCUAAGGCGCUUGAGUGAUUCACGGUUAAGGAACUAGGCAAACUGACCCUGUAACUUCGGGAUAAAGGGUCCCUACCCUUUUAUGGGAGGGCGCAGAGAAUCGGUCCAGGCAACUGUUUAACAAAAACACAGGGCUGUGCCAAAUCGAAAGAUCCAGUAUACAGCCUGACACCUGCCCGGUGCUGGAAGGUUAAGAGGAGAUGUCAUCGAUAAGAGAAGCGUUGAAUUGAAGCCCCAGUAAACGGCGGCCGUAACUAUAACGGUCCUAAGGUAGCGAAAUUCCUUGUCGGGUAAGUUCCGACCUGCACGAAUGGUGUAAUGAUCUGGACGCUGUCUCAACCGUGAGCUCAGUGAAAUUGUAGUAUCGGUGAAGAUGCCGAUUACCCGCGAUGGGACGAAAAGACCCCGUGAACCUUUACUACAGCUUAGCAUUGACCUUGGUCAUCCGAUGUGUAGGAUAGGCCGGAGGCUUUGAAGCGGGAGCGCCAGCUUUCGUGGAGCCAUCCUUGAAAUACGGCCCUUUGGCUGUCUGAGGUCUAACGCGUGAUACGCGGACACUGCUUGGUGGGUAGUUUGACUGGGGUGGUCGCCUCCAAAAGCGUAACGGAGGCUUCCAAAGGUGCCCUCGGGUCGAUUGGUAACCGACCUCAAAGAGUGCAAUGGCAUAAGGGCGCUUGACUGGGAGGCAGACAUGCCGAGCAGGCAGGAAACUGGGGCAUAGUGAUCCGGCGGAUGUGUAUGGAAACUCCGUCGCUCAAAGGAUAAAAGGUACUCCGGGGAUAACAGGCUGAUCCCCCCCAAGAGCUCAUAUCGACGGGGUGGUUUGGCACCUCGAUGUCGGCUCGUCACAUCCUGGGGCUGGAGAAGGUCCCAA
rnacentral:rRNA from 1 species